rnacentral:rRNA from 1 species
AGCAGCCGCGGUAAUUCCAGCUCCAAUAGCGUAUAUUAAAGUUGUUGCAGUUAAAAAGCUCGUAGUUGAAUUUCGGAAUCAGUAUGUUGGUCGUGCUUCGGUACGUACUGUCAUUACUGGUUUCUACCUUCUGAAGAACCUUGAUGUCAUUAAUUUGGUGUCUUGGGGAAUCAGGACUGUUACUUUGAAAAAUUAGAGUGUUUAAAGCAAGCAUACGCUUGAAUACAUUAGCAUGGAAUAAUGAAAUAGGACGUUUGAUUCUAUUUUGUUGGUUUCUAGGAUCGACGUAAUGAUUAAUAGGGAUAGUUGGGGGCAUUAGUAUUCAAUUGUCAGAGGUGAAAUUCUUGGAUUUAUUGAAGACUAACUACUGCGAAAGCAUUUGCCAAGGAUGUUUUCAUUAAUCAAGAACGAAAGUUAGGGGAUCGAAGACGAUCAGAUACCGUCGUAGUCUUAACCAUAAACUAUGCCGACUAGGGAUCGGAUGAUGUUAUUUUUAAUGACUCAUUCGGCGCCUUAAC